rnacentral:rRNA from 1 species
UGCGUAGGCGGUCGGGUAAGUCUGAUGUGAAAGCUCUGGGCUUAACCCAGAAAUGGCAUUGGAUACUAUUCGGCUUGAGAGUUGGAGGGGGGACUGGAAUUCUCGGUGUAGCAGUGAAAUGCGUAGAUAUCGAGAGGAACACCAGUGGCGAAGGCGAGUCCCUGGACAACUUCUGACGCUGAGGCACGAAAGCUGGGAGCAAACA